AACGCACCUUGCGCUCCUUGGUAUUCCGAGGAGCAUGCCUGUUUGAGUGUCAUUAAAUUCUCAACCCCAUCGAUUUGUUUCGAUUGUGGGAUUGGAUUGUGGGGGUUUGCUGGUGGACUCUUGUCUGUCGGCUCCUCUGAAAUGUAUUAGCAAAGGUUGGCUUCGGGCGGUCCGUGGCGUGAUAGGUUUUUGUUACGUCUCGAUAAUUCCGUCUCGGAGCCGUGUGGCUUCGGCUUCGAAUCGUCCCUCUUGGGGGACUGACUCCAUCUUGAAUCUGACCUCAAAUCAGGCAGGACUACCCGCUGAACUUAA
rnacentral:rRNA from 1 species